rnacentral:lncRNA from 1 species
CUUGUGCCACGGUGGCCCAAAUGUCAGUCAACCAGACAUGUCUUCUGAGAGGUAAGUUUUUGAAAAAUACUAGACUUUUCUCAAAUGUAUUUCUUUACAGGAAUAAAAAGAAAGCUAAUUUUGCAUGAGCAUGCAGGAAGUCUGCAGACAGACAUUCUACAUAGUCCCUUGGGGACUCAGUAGAAGUGGAAUCAAGACCAACCCAAGCCCAACAAGGCAGCUCCGCUGGUUAAUGCCUCCCAGAUCUGUCAUCUGUGAUAAAGAGCCUCGCUGUAGCUGAGGAGCUGGCCAAGAACCUUUCCCAGUUAGCCAAGUUCGUGAAGAAGUCACAUGUGGUGAAUAUAUUAUCAUCAGAAUGCGGAGCAAUGAAAUGUAAACAGAUAGGAAUCGUCACUAAAGCUCCAACUGCAGCCUCCGGGUGCCAUAGCUUUUGCACCAUCCAUUUGCACCAUCUCUGCAGUAAGUCCUAGCUCAAGCCUUACUCCAAAGUACAAAUUAGCAUAGCAGCUCAGUCAACAAUGCCUCCGAGCUUCUGGAAAGAAAGAUGCUCAGUCACCAUAGACCCAGAAUUAAUGAAAAGUCACAGAAAUAAUAGCUCCAUUCUCUACUUGCUUCUGAACCUCAAAUCAGUGGUUGGCAACAAGGAUGUCUGCAUCAUCUGUAUUGACCUGCUCCCCAGAUUAAUACCGAAGCACUGCAAUUUCUUGAGGAUUAUCCACCUAGGAGGAAAUGAUACGCUGGCCCAUCCAUAGUAGUCAAGAAACAGUCUGAGAUCCAAAAAGUGGCUUAAAAGAGGGAAAAGUUAAUCAAAAUGUCUGUGAAGCUCUGGCUUCAGUCUCUCCAGCGAGGCUUUCUGAAGCACAGCUCUGAUAGAACUAAACCCAAUGAGACACCGCCUACAAGAGGAAUCCAGCGUGUGAACGAAGACUAAAAAGCAAAACAGCAGCGUCUGGAGUGGACAGCUUCUCUCACUCAGAGAACUGUAGCCUCAAAUUCCUGGCAGAGGUUUCUUGGAAGAGAAGAAUGAGAUUGGAUCUGAGAAAAUGUGGCUGGGAACCACCAUCUCAGAUGGUAGAAACCACUCAGAAGGAUCAACUGCUGCAGACGGGAAGAGGAGCAACCUCGUGAAUAAUUUCGUGACAGGAUAUUGCAGGAGGGACUUUGUCCAAAUGUGUGCAGGGUAGUUGGCUACAGCAACAAGGAUGACGAACACAGAUGAAUUGAUCAGGAUGUAACCAUUCAAAGUUGAGAGGAUUAGAGGACUUCUCCGAGGCGGCUCCAAUGGAUGCCAGCAGAGUUAAAGUGUCCAAUGGAGAGAAGAGAAGGCUUGGGAAAUCCAGAGUCCAUUCAUUCAUCGCCCUCCUCCUAGAACAACAAAAGCGAGCCCCAGUACUCAUCAGCAUGGACUCUGUGUGUAGUCAUCUCCCUUAGUUUCAGAGGUUCCUGCCUACAGCAAAACUUUAGAGGCUUAGAGUUUAACGGUCAUAGCUUAUUCACCUCCAACUGUGUCCUAGUUCAAGAGAAACACUUCACAUAUCUGUAGGGAGAAGAUAAUGAACCAAGGAUACAAGUUAAGCCUUAGCUAAGACCUGUUACUCAGGAAAAAGAGCUAAAACAAGCUGCUUAGAUCAGCACCAAUGUUAGGUAGAGAGAAAAAGAAACGCUGCAUAGAAAUCUUAAGGUUCACAUGUGCUCCAGGCUGGGUCAACAACUUCUAAUUUCCUUUGCCAACCAACCAUGUCUUUGACAGAAAUGAUCCUUCUACAUAGACCACAGAGGGAUCCAAUGGAGGUUUCUCUUCCUGAAUUUGGGGAUUCAGAAUCUGGACAAAUUCCUUUCCAUCAAAGUCCAGUACAAAAGUAGUACCAUGGCAGUCCCUGCAGGGACUUGCAUCACUUUCCCUAGAGAUAUCAAGAGAAUUUUUAGUGAUAAGAAUAUGGCACAAAAUGAGAAAUCCCAUUACUCUUAAGAGAAUCUCUUCCUUCUCAAAGGCACCUGAUUAAUACAUAUAGUACUAUCAGUAAGGCUGAGCAAAAGGAUACUGAUGUUCUGAGUGAUCUUAAAUCAUGUAAUAAUAACUUUAUUCGUAGUAUAGAACGGAAUAUUCCCUAUUAGUAAUCAGUUCCUUUGCCAGAUCCUCAUAGUAUCUUAGUCACUGUUUUAUUGUUAUGAAGAGAAACUUUGACCACAGCACCUCUUAGAAAAAAGGAAGCAUUUAAUCGGGACUUCCUUAUGGUUUCACAGUUUUACAUAAUUGUCAACAUGGCAGAGAACAUGGGGGCACGCAAACAGACAUGGUGCUGGAGAAGUAGCGGAGAAUAUACAGCAACAUAUAGAUACAAAAUAUAGAUACAUAUAGAUACAGAAUAUAGAUACAUAUAGCUACAUAUAGAUCUGCAGGCAGCAGGAAGAGACUGGGACAAGGCCAUACCUUCUAAGGCUUCUCAAGGAGUGUCACUUCCUGAUGACCAAGCAUUCAAGUGUAUGAGCUUAUGGGAGCCAUUCUUAUUCAAGCCACCACACAUAGCAAAGCUGAUAAUGUCAUUUUCUGAAUUAACCAGGCCAAGGCACACUUCUUAGCAACAUGGUUACCUGGUAACCAGAGAUUUUUCUCAUCCCAUGAGAGAUUUCAUUCAAGAACUGAUCUUCUAACAGUUUUGUCUCUCUUAAGAAUGCUACAGACAGGGUGGGGUGAGGCACAGUGCUGAAGCCCCUCAAGUUUCCCAGAGGGAUGAGUCCAUGAAAGACGAAAAUCAUGUGGUCACACUGAGCAUAGACUUCACAAGCAUCAUGCUAGGAUUCCAUUUUCUUUCUCAACACAAUGAUAAAUUCUUCUUCCAAUAAGCAGAAAAUCAUCCAAUGGGAAAAAAAAAUAAAACCAACUAACUUGCAGUCCUUUGGAACAGUUUCAUAGCUUACAGGAUGGCUUCAUAACCCUGGGGACACUCGUUUUGACAUGAAAACUUCCUUCAGAACAGGAAUUCUGAUCCAACAUGUGCUCAGACAUCAUUUCAGUCACUUGCAAAUGAACAAGAAAGCUCAUGUAAAUGAGGAGGCUCAACUCCCAGGCCUGGUGAGUGGGUAAGACAUUCCUCUGCUGGGUUUUGAAGGCUGUCUGAAACCAUCGGCUGACAUCCUUCUCUGUGUGCAUGUAUGCACUAUCUACGGGAAAUUCAGCUCCAACCGGUUGUCUCUACAGCUCCCUUAAUCUUCUCCUCCCUCCUCCUGGCAUUGGCAUGUGUCCCAGGACUGCAGCGAGGAGUGCUUACCAACAAAGGUGCUGGCAUCUGCAUUUGUUUCACAGCCACAAACCUAAUGGUUCCAUGAUUUUGGCGAGCAAAACUGUCAAAAUGCCUGAGCACAAGAGAUCACAAGAUGAGCCAAGGCAUAGUGUGCAUGCCUUCCUUCCCAGCACUCGGAAGGCAGAGGCAAGGGGAUCUCUGUGGGUUCAAGGCCAGCCUGAAUCACAAGGUGUACUGGGGAUUCUUUUUUAUUGUUUUCCUUUUGCUAUCUGGAAUAGUUUGAGAUUGUAUUUGAUCAGUGCAUUAAACAAC